GAUGAACGCUCGCUACAGGCUUAACACAUGCAAGUCGCGGGGCAGCAUGGGGGUUGCUUGCAAUCCCCGAUGGCGACCGGCGCACGGGUGAGUAACGCGUAUCCAACCUGCCCUUCACCACGGGAUAACCCGGCGAAAGUCGGACUAAUACCGUAUGUUGUCCAUUGACGGCAUCCGAUUUGGACGAAAGGUUUGGCGGUGAAGGAUGGGGAUGCGUCCGAUUAGCUGGACGGCGGGGUGACGGCCCACCGUGGCGACGAUCGGUAGGGGUUCUGAGAGGAAGGUCCCCCACACUGGAACUGAGACACGGUCCAGACUCCUACGGGAGGCAGCAGUGAGGAAUAUUGGUCAAUGGGCGUAAGCCUGAACCAGCCAAGUAGCGUGCAGGAGGACGGCCCUAUGGGUUGUAAACUGCUUUUAUGCGGGGAUAAAGUGGCCCACGUGUGGGUUUUUGCAGGUACCGCAUGAAUAAGGACCGGCUAAUUCCGUG
rnacentral:rRNA from 1 species